UACGUAGGGGGCAAGCGUUGUCCGGAAUCAUUGGGCGUAAAGCGCGUGUAGGCGGCCAGAAAAGUCCGCUGUGAAAACUCGAGGCUCAACCUCGAGACGUCGGCGGAAACCAUCUGGCUAGAGUCCGGAAGAGGAGAGUGGAAUUCCUGGUGUAGCGGUGAAAUGCGCAGAUAUCAGGAAGAACACCCGUGGCGAAGGCGGCUCUCUGGGACGGUACUGACGCUGAGACGCGAAAGCGUGGGGAGCGAACAGG
rnacentral:rRNA from 1 species